UAUCGGCGUCCCAACUCGUUCUGCCGUCAAACGCUCCCACCGGGUGCCCAUAGCGCCAAUUACCAGAGUCGGACGGUAUUGUUGUUGCUUGCGUUCUGAUCUGUCAGCCACGAGUGCCCUCUGUGCAAACUAACGACAACUUUUUACGCGCACCGUACUUUUUGACAAACGGCGUGCUCUCGUGAGUUAGGUUAUCCCGCCAUAACAGCUGCAAAAGGGACAGACAGCGCAUUCAUCGUUGUGAACAUAGGCGCUAUUACGGAGCGUUCGAAAACAUGGCGAUGCUGGAAAUUAAAACUGCGCGCCCCUGAAGUGAAGUACUCUAUCUACGAAGACGAAGCCAUCGAUUAUAAAAUGGUGCAGGAUCUUUAUUUGUCACAAAGAAUUUCGAUCAAGCAGCUAUACGAAACAGUAAAGAGACAAUAGCAUCGCGACAGAAGAGUCUACAAAUGAUUUUGAAAGAUCUAUUUAAUCGCUGAAUAAAUUUGAGCGACACCGUUGAUGGUGGCGCAUCCUGGCUGGAGAAUCGGGCUGCUGCACCAGGCUGCACCACCUCUUGGCGUUCGACGCAGACCAAGGCUCGUUAGUGCGUGCCCGUAAAUCAAGCCGCAGGGGUGCCAACCCGCUAAUAUUACCGGGGUUCCUUCAGGAUAGGAGGAGCACGUUCACGCCGCCGACGCGCACGAUGGUAUUUCUGAAGAUGGAAUACUUUAGAGUUGAAGUUAAACGAAGGAAGGACGAAUAUUUGCUCUAUCCUAAAGUGUUCGGUUCGGUUAGCGCAAGGCGGGUCCGCUCGAUUAUGGAGGAUAGCCGAAAUCACCGGUGGAUCGGAGGAUUAGAUCAGAAUUACCCAGACACGAGAUGAUCGUCGUACAGAAUCAUCGGUGGAGCCAGGCGGUAACGUCGUCAGGUCUAAACGGUGGAUCGACUCGUAGGAGCGGAGUUUGUCGGCGUGCACGGUCGACAAAGAAGGGCCCGGGACAGGAUUGCUGGACUGUAAACUCGUAAAACGGUAGUGGUCGAUCCGAGGGAACCGGAAGUGACGCAGCCUGGUAAGUGGCAGUUAUCGAUAGCCUGUUGUUAAGUUCAAUGCGCGCGUUUCGUCGCUACGCGAACGAUAGAGAUGGAACGUCGAGAAAGCUCGAACGAAAGGAAGAAAGACCCUUCGGAGGUGAACAGAGAACGAACGAAUCAUCCCUCUAAAUAAUAGGGCGGUCACCGUCGCUGUAAACUUUUUACAACCCCCGUUAAUCUUUUUUUCUCUCGCUCCGUUCACGUUUCUAUUCCGCUCCAGUUGCUUUAUUUUCCGUCUAUCUCUCGGAAUACCGUAUCGCAAGCGUUGCCUUAUUUCCUUUUUUUUCCCUUUCUGUGGUCUCUUUCUCAAUAUCGAGAAACCACAUUUUCCAGCGGAAAUCUAAUAUUCAGGCCGGUCGUAAAUUGAAUCGUUAAGCCACUACCGUGUAACUCUCUGUAAUCUGUCGCUGAAAUUUCAUAUUGCUAUGUUAUACUUUUAUUCAAAUUCAUUUGAAACUAUUAAA